CCCUUAGAUGUUCUGGGCCGCACGCGCGCUACACUGACGAAGUCAGCGAGCAUGUCCUACGCCGACAGGUGCGGGGAAUCUUGUCAAACUUCGUCGUGAUGGGGAUUGAUUUUUGAAAUUCUUGAUCAUAAACGAGGAAUUCCUAGUAAGCGCAAGUCAGCAGCUUGCGUUGAUUACGUCCCUGCCCUUUGUACACACCGCCCGUCGCUACUACCGAUUGAGUGAUCCGGUGAAUAAUUCGGACUGCAGCACUGCUUGGUCUCCAGGCUUUGCAGCGGAAAGUUUAGUGAACCUUAUCACUUAGAGGAAGGAGAAGUCGUAACA
rnacentral:rRNA from 1 species